UACAGAGGGUGCGAGCGUUGUCCGGAAUCAUUGGGCGUAAAGCGCGUGUAGGCGGCUCGAUAAGUCCGGUGUGAAAUCUUGGGGCUCAACCCCAAGCCUGCACUGGAUACUGUCGAGCUUGAGUCCGGGAGGGGAGAGCGGAAUUCCUAGUGUAGCGGUGAAAUGCGCAGAUAUUAGGAAGAACACCGGUGGCGAAGGCGGCUCUCUGGAACGGUACUGACGCUGAGACGCGAAAGCGUGGGGAGCGAACAGG
rnacentral:rRNA from 1 species